UACGAGGGGGGCAAGCGUUGUUCGGAAUUAUUGGGCGUAAAGGGCGCGUAGGCGGUGCGGUAAGUCUGAUGUGAAAUCUCCGGGCUCAACUCGGAGUCUGCAUCAGAAACUGCCGUGCUUGAGUGUGGGAGAGGUGAGUGGAAUUCCCGGUGUAGCGGUGAAAUGCGUAGAUAUCGGGAGGAAUACCUAUGGCGAAAGCAGGUAUCUGGGCCAUCACUGACGCUGAGCUGCGAAAGCUAGGGGAGCAAACAGG
rnacentral:rRNA from 1 species